AGCUCCAAUAGCGUAUAUUAAAGUUGUUGUGGUUAAAAAGCUCGUAGUUGGAUCUCAACAGACCUGGAUCGGUUUACUUUGUGUAAUACUGAUCCAGAGCUGUGCUUUUGCCGGAGGUUUAGGGGUGCUCUUAACCGAGUGUCUCUGAGUGCCGGCAGGUUUACUUUGAAAAAAUUAGAGUGUUUAAAGCAGGCUGUUAUGCCUGAAUAUUUGUGCAUGGAAUAAUAGAAUAGGAUGUUGAUCUUAUUUUGUUGGUUUUCGAGACUUGACAUAAUGAUUAAUAGGGACAGUCGGGGGCAUUUGUAUUCAAACGACAGAGGUGAAAUUCUUGGACCGUUUGAAGACAAACUACUGCGAAAGCAUUUGCCAAGAAUGUGUGCA
rnacentral:rRNA from 1 species